rnacentral:rRNA from 1 species
GAUGAACGCUGGCGGCGUGCCUAAUACAUGCAAGUCGAGCGAACGGACGAGAAGCUUGCUUCUCUGAUGUUAGCGGCGGACGGGUGAGUAACACGUGGAUAACCUACCUAUAAGACUGGGAUAACUUCGGGAAACCGUAGCUAAUACCGGAUAAUAUUUUGAACCGCAUGGUUCAAAAGUGAAAGACGGUCUUGCUGUCACUUAUAGAUGGAUCCGCGCUGCAUUAGCUAGUUGGUAAGGUAACGGCUUACCAAGACAACGAUGCAUAGCCGACCUGAGAGGGUGAUCGGCCACACUGGAACUGAGACACGGUCCAGACUCCUACGGGAGGCAGCAGUAGGGAAUCUUCCGCAAUGGGCGAAAGCCUGACGGAGCAACGCCGCGUGAGUGAUGAAGGUCUUCGGAUCGUAAAACUCUGUUAUUAGGGAAGAACAUAUGUGUAAGUAACUGUGCACAUCUUGACGGUACCUAAUCAGAAAGCCACGGCUAACUACGUG